CCCUACGGGGGGCAGCAGUAGGGAAUCUUCCACAAUGGGCGAAAGCCUGAUGGAGCAACGCCGCGUGGGUGAAGAAGGUCUUCGGGUCGUAAAACCCUGUUGUUAGAGAAGAAAGUGCGUGAGAGUAACUGUUCACGUUUCGACGGUAUCUAACCAGAAAGCCACGGCUAACUACGUGCCAGCAGCCGCGGUAAUACGUAGGUGGCAAGCGUUAUCCGGAUUUAUUGGGCGUAAAGGGAACGCAGGCGGUCUUUUAAGUCUGAUGUGAACGCCUUCGGCUUAAACGGAGUAGUGCAUUGGAAACU
rnacentral:rRNA from 1 species